AGCGAACGCUGGCGGCAGGCCUAACACAUGCAAGUCGAACGAACUCUUCGGAGUUAGUGGCGGACGGGUGAGUAACACGUGGGAACGUGCCUUUAGGUUCGGAAUAACUCAGGGAAACUUGUGCUAAUACCGAAUGUGCCCUUCGGGGAAAGAUUUAUCGCCUUUAGAGCGGCCCGCGUCUGAUUAGCUAGUUGGUGAGGUAAAGGCUCACCAAGGCGACGAUCAGUAGCUGGUCUGAGAGGAUGAUCAGCCACAUUGGGACUGAGACACGGCCCAAACUCCUACGGGAGGCAGCAGUGGGGAAUCUUGCGCAAUGGGCGAAAGCCUGACGCAGCCAUGCCGCGUGAAUGAUGAAGGUCUUAGGAUUGUAAAAUUCUUUCACCGGGGACGAUAAUGACGGUACCCGGAGAAGAAGCCCCGGCUAACUUCGUGCCAGCCGCCGCCGCCG
rnacentral:rRNA from 1 species